AUGCAUGUCUAAGUGCAAAUCCUUGUAUGGUGAAACCGCGAAUGGCUCAUUAAAUCAGUUAUGGUUCCUUAGAUCGUGUCCUACAUGGAUAACUGUGGAAAUUCUAGAGCUAAUACAUGCGACGAAGCUUCGACCUUCGGGGAGAAGCGCUUUUAUUAGACCAAAACCAAUCGGGUGGCUUCGGCUGUUCGUACUGGUGGUGACUCUGGAUAACUUUGUGCUGAUCGCAUGGCCAUGUGCCGGCGACGUAUCUUUCAAAUGUCUGCCCUAUCAACUGUAGAUGGUACGUGAUGUGCCUACCAUUGUGAUAACGGGUAACGGGGAAUCAGGGUUCGGUUCCGGAGAGGGAGCAUGAGAAAUGGCUACCACAUCCAAGGAAGGCAGCAGGCGCGCAAAUUACCCACUCCCGGCACGGGGAGGUAGUGACGAAAAAUAACAAUGCGGGACCCUACGGGUACCGUAAUUGGAAUGAGUACACUUUAAAUCCUUUAACGAGGAACAAUUGGAGGGCAAGUCUGGUGCCAGCAGCCGCGGUAAUUCCAGCUCCAAUAGCGUAUACUAGUUGCUGCGCUUAAAAAGCUCGUAGUUGGAUCUCGGGCUCGGGCUGGUGGUCCGCUAAGAAGCGGUACUGCCUGUCCUGACCUACUUGCCGGUUUGGCCGGAUGCUCUUCACUGAGUGCCCGGUUCAGGCCGGUACGUUUACUUUGAAGAAAAUAGAGUGUUCAAAGCAGGCCUAUGCCUGAAUAAUGCAGCAUGGAAUAAUGGAAUAGGACCUCGGUUCUAUUUUGUUGGUUUUCGGAACUCGAGGUAAUGAUUAAGAGGGACAGACGGGGGCAUUCGUAUUCCGCCGUUAGAGG
rnacentral:rRNA from 1 species